CAAAGGGUAAAAGGAGAAGUGGGUAUGUGGGCGGUGAUAAUGGUGUUGAUGUGUUGUUGAUAGGAGGAACGAAGGAGGUAGAGGGGGAGGAUACAACCUUCUCCGUACGAUGUCCUUUUUCUUCUCCUUCUUCCUCUUCCCCCCUUUCUCCUCUAUCUUUGGAUUAACUAAAAUGACUAACUCCACUGUAAGUUGCAGCGGCAGUGAUGAUCUUCUCUUUCUCACUCUCUCACUCUCUUUCAUUCUUUCACCUGUUCUUGUUGCGGCAAUGAUAGAGGUAGGGGGAGCUGCGGUAAUACUGAAAUGGCUUCCCCUGUCUUACCGAAAUGGUUUGCUAGAAACUCCAUUUGGCUUCUCUGUGUUCAUCAGCUAAUUUGUGAGUUCAUGAUGUUAUAGAGUUUCAAAGUGGAGCUCAGGGCACCGGGACCAUGGGUUGGUGAUGAGCAGCACACCAAGUGGCCACUUCAAGCUCAAAACCCCCUCUUAGUCUUAGGAUUUUGACUAUUCAAAUACCAACAACAGGACUGCAUCUUGGCUACAUCUUGAGGUGAGACGGAUUUGGCUGCAAGUUCCCUAGAAACUGAGAAUACAUCUUCAUACUUGACCUAAUAACAAUUGGGGAAGAACUCAAAGCAACGACGGUAACAGUGAGAGAUAUUCCGGUCGUUAAGAGUGAUGUUGCUACUACAAUCCAAGCAGUAGAAUUGAGAGCCAUAGUGGAUACUAUAUCAUCAGGAGAUGUCAUCGUUGCUGCUUAAUCAGUAGGUAUUGUGAAUGCAAAGACUGUGUGCCAUGAGGAAAGGAUUAAGCUAGGGAUGUUCUCAUGGAUGCAGCGAUAAAGCCACCAAGAGACAUACCGCUUUUCCCUAAAAAUGGUAGAGCAAAGCUUGUCGGAUUGAUAGAAGUGAGAAAGAAAGGAGAAGAAGAGAAAGAAAGAAAGGGAAGAGGGUGACUACUAGAACGUGAAAGAAGGAAUCGAGGCCACCCUUGCUCUGACCCUUUCUCUCUAUAGGGGUUUACAGACCCUUGAUCUGACCAAUCACGCUGGAUCUCAGUAUCUCUCAAAUAUCAUAUUUGGGUUCCUUGCAAAUUUGAGAGAUAGUUAAUAAAUCUGAGAUGAGUUGUAGAAGGGGAAGAAGGAGAGAGAGAGAGAGAGAGGAGGUGGAGGGGUCUGCUACUGUAAUGAGUUGUAGUGGCGGUGAUCAAAUAGGGGAGAGAACGGAUGGGAAGGAGAGAGAGAGAGAGGGGGAGGGAGGGAGCGUGUGAGUGAAGGGUAAAAUUGGGUUUUAGAAAAAGUUAUACAUCACGUGUGUACGAAACUUGACAGAAUAUUAACAGAUGAUAAUGGUAAGGGUACUGUAAGAGAG